AUCAUAUCCGCACAGCCAUCCAGACCAGAGGCAUCGUCCAGCCUGUAAGGGCGCAGGGCCCUGAAGCUCAGCCUUGUGUCAGCCUCCCGAGGCUCUCCUCCUGCCCUGGUGCUCUCCGACCAUCCGUCCAACCUGUUUCUGACCCAUGUGACCCAAGGGCCCACAGGAGGAAGGUUUUGCUGGAGGUUGAAAAGGGAUUCAGUCCUUCCUGAGUGCUGAGGAAGACCAAAGAGCACGAGCUGUCAAAUGGGAUAUCGUGCCAACAGAAUUCUCAUUGAACACUUGAUGUCAUAUGUCAUCUGACACUGGCUUUUCAUUCAGGUCAUUUCAGGAUAAGACUUCUGAGAGCAACAGCAAAUAUAUUCAAUACUGAGAAUAUUUCAUUUGUAUUGAACACAAUGAGAAGGUGGAUAAAUGUGAAUCAAGGGUUGACACGAUGUGGUGUGAUUGAGAAGAGAUAUCAUAACACAGAGAUCAAGGAAGACGUUACAGCAAGCACCAGGAAGUGGCAGAGAGCAGAAGAGAGAAGAAAGAACAGGAUCCAGGGAGCUUAUCUCCGUGCCAACCUCCAGGAAGCAACAGCGUCGCUGCCCCUUUGGCUCACUGAUGCCCUGAUUUGCAAACAUGCUUCACCUUAAACCAGUUCUUAGAGGAGAAGGUAAGGUUUUUAAACUUCUUUCAACAGUGAAUUUGAAUUAGACAUAAAACACAAAACUCUGAGAGCUAUUUCAGCCCCUGAAUUAAUUCACUGAAGUGUAAAAUGGGGUGGCAGUGAUCCAAAUAGAAAAG
ensembl:lncRNA